UCAAAUUUGGGAAACUGUAAGCAGCAUGACAUGUUUAGAGUGCAGGAUAAGAAUGUCUGCAGGAGUGAAGUGUUCAUAAUCAGGAGAUUAUGCGUGUUCUAUAAUCAGGAGAUUGUGCAUGUUGUAUAAUCAGGAGACGGAAUCUCCUGCAGGCAUUCAAAGCCCACUAACCCAUUUUAAACAAGGGAAGAAAAUGCGUGACUUUCUGCUUUAGAACAACUGCCCUUGGGACAGUACAGAAGAGGAAAUGAAGAAGAGGAAGUCUAGAGGAAGUGGGAACAGUUUAUUGACUAUUACAAUAGUCCAAGCAAAAGAUAAUGAGAACAUAAAGUAGAAAAGGAAAUGUAGGAAUGGAGAAGAAAUAACAAUUUAAAAACAUUUAAGGGAUCCUUCUAACAAAACCCAGUGAUUAGUGGUACAUCUGGAAUGAGGGAUUAUUCCAAGGUUUAUUAUUUAGAUAAUAGGUGACUCAUGCAGAGACUAAACACAGGAAAAACAAUUUUCAGGAAAAAUUAGAAAAGUUGCUAUUUAUACAUGUUAAAUUUGAGUUGUCUAUAACAGAUCUGUCUACUGAUAACAAUUUGGCUAUCGAACUCAGGAGUAAAAUUUUGUCUAAAGAUAAAAGAUGAAAAUUAGAAGUGCCUAAAACUGACAACGGGUCUGGUAUCUAGAUCAUCCAAGGAACUUCCGCAAAUUCAUCAGACUAAAAAGAAGAACCCUAAAUAGAAAAAAAAAAAUGGUCAAAGGACAGGAAUAGGCAAUUAAUAGAAAAGGAAACUCCCAAAUUUCUCAAGCAUAUGAAGAGAUGCUUAAGCUCAUUAGUAAUGUGAGACAUGAAAAAUUAAAAUUGCAAUGGUAUGUUACUCUCUAUCUAGUCUACUGGAUAAAAAUUAGAAAGUUAGACAACAUGAAGUGUUGGCCUGGAUUUGAAGAUGCAGGAAUUUAGAGACUGGUUGGAGAAGCAGGCAAGAGAUGGGCAUUCUGGAGUGCAAUCUGACAGUAUUUGGUUAAAAUUGACUAAAUUAAGUAUAGACACCCCCUCUGGCCCAAUAAUUCUGCUUCUGAAUACACGUGUUGAAGAGAUUCUCACACAUAUCCACAGGGUGCCUGUGCAGCAGUAUUCACUGUGAUAGGAAGUGAGAAGCAGUCUGAGUGUUCAUUGCUGAGGGAAUCAAGGGCAAAAUAUCAUGGAUGCACUCAUGGACAAAUAAGCAGCAGUUUGAAGCAACAACCUAGAUGGAUGUACAGCCAUCAAGAGGAUCUUAAAGUGUGGUCUUUAGUGGAAAAAAAGGUUACAUUUGAACAUAUUUAUCUGCUAAAGCAAAAUAAUUCCCAUCAUUCUAUAGCAGAAGCAAUGUAUGGGAGACUGAGUAAUUACAUAUAAGCUCACAUCACUAUCUCUUCCACCACUGUCAUCCAUCAUGACUGAUCUGGGAGAUGAAACAGCACAGAUCUAAAGGACGUGGAAGAAAGAAGCUUAUAAAGUGUCCAUCAUGAGAAUCCACCUGGGACCUACACAACAGAUCAAAUACCCAGAACAAAUCACCAAGUCAGAGCCCCACAGAAUUCUGAUUCCCAACCAGCAAGCAUGAAUAAUCCUUUUAAAUGGUCACUUACAUAUCAGAACAGGUCCUUUGUGAAAUUUCUAAGCAAGGCCUCUGGUUUCUGACUGAAACAGAGAUUUAUUGAGAAGGAGGGGUAAAGUGAAAUCAAGAACUACUGGGAAAUUUCCACAAGAAACAAGGACAAAUGGUUUUUGUUGUCAGAAUAAAACCAGCCUCCCCUAGCCAUGGUUUGGAAAGUUAUUUGCUAGCCCACAGGGGACAAUAUUCUCAACUGGUUUAUCAGGGACCCUUUUGAUCCAAUUAUAAUUAUUGGGCAGAUACAGUAGUACCCUAUUAUCAGAAGACCUAGUUUCAAAUCCUGAGUCAAUUUCUAAUUCACUGUGUGACCUUGUACAAGUCACUUAAGCUCUCUGAUCAUUGGUUCAACAUCUUUAAUAUGAGGAGAGUAAUACCUACCUCAAUUACCUCAUAAAAUUAUUGCAAAGAUCAAGUGAGUUGAUAUGUUACAAAUUAUUUCUAAAUUAUAAGAUUCUGUAUAAGUGGAAGGGUUAAAUAUACUCCCAUAUUAUUAAAUACCCUACAUAUCACUCAGGAUCCUAUAUGACUCUGAGUUCUCAAUUUCUAGAAAUGGUCCCAUUUUUGCUUUGUUCCCUACAAUUCUACGGAGUCUUUUUUUUUUUUAAAGGAAGGGUGUAGGCAAAGGUAAAUGGGAGAAAACAUGGAAUCACAUACCACUCUUUGGUGCUGCUAGGCAAGAAUUUUAAACUGAGUUUAGUUCACCAUCGUGGACUUAAGGUCCAUAUCACCUCAGGGAGACAAGUAGAGUGGGAGGCAUCCAAAAGGUAGGUGAUUCUUCUCCCCUCUAGUGAAGAAUACAAGGUCAAUUUACAAAAAAGCACCAGCAGCAAAUAAUUGGAAAAUUAAAUUCAUAAAACAUUCAUAAUAGC
rnacentral:lncRNA from 1 species